CAGCGAGCUCCGGAAAGGCAGCCGCCGGGGGCAGUGGAGCAGACCCGCGCCAGCCGGGAGGAGGGGGUUGCAUCCCUCGGGUUGUGGCGGCGCGAACCGAAUCCGGACGGAGGCAGAUGUCGAGUGCUGGAACCUAGGCUGGGGGAUGCACGCUCCGGGCGCCCGGCGAGCCCUCUCCUCUUCGGCAAAGAGAAUGCUGCUCAGAAGUGCUCGUGUCCCCUCGCUCUAGGAGAGAUGACUAAACAGGUGGGCUCGCCGGGGAAAAGACUGCGUUAAGCUGUCGGCAUUGGACAUCACUGCUCCUGGUUUUCAGGCUUUCUGACUCAGAUCAGGACUUACAUCAUCAGCCUCCCCUCAUCCUACACCUGUUCUCAGGCCUUAUGGACUCAGACUAAAAGUAUGGCUCUGGCUUUCCUGGCCUUCCAGCUUGCUGAAGGCAGAUUGUGGGACUUUUUGGCCACUAUAACCACACUUGAAGUAAAAAGACCUAUUAUCCAUUAAGUGUCCCUUUCAUGGAUGAAGAGGAAAAACAAACUCAUUUGACUGCUAAUUUGGUGGGUUUUGCCUACAAUGAAUGAGCUUCCUGGAAACUAUGUGG